rnacentral:rRNA from 1 species
CCAGACUCCUACGGGAGGCAGCAGUGGGGAAUAUUGCACAAUGGGCGAAAGCCUGAUGCAGCAACGCCGCGUGAAGGAAGAAGGCCUUCGGGUCGUAAACUUCUGUCCUUGGGGAAGAAGAACUGACGGUACCCAAGGAGGAAGCCCCGGCUAACUACGUGCCAGCAGCCGCGGUAAUACGUAGGGGGCAAGCGUUAUCCGGAAUUAUUGGGCGUAAAGAGUACGUAGGUGGCAACCUAAGCGCAGGGUUUAAGGCAAUGGCUCAACCAUUGUUCGCCCUGCGAACUGGGAUGCUUGAGUGCAGGAGAGGAAAGCGGAAUUCCUAGUGUAGCGGUGAAAUGCGUAGAUAUUAGGAGGAACACCAGUGGCGAAGGCGGCUUUCUGGACUGUAACUGACACUGAGGUACGAAAGCGUGGGGAGCAAACAGGAUUAGAUACCCGAGUA